rnacentral:rRNA from 1 species
GUAUUGAUUGGUGCUUGCAUCAUGAUUUACAUUUGAGUGAGUGGCGAACUGGUGAGUAACACGUGGGAAACCUGCCCAGAAGCGGGGGAUAACACCUGGAAACAGAUGCUAAUACCGCAUAACAACUUGGACCGCAUGGUCCGAGCUUGAAAGAUGGCUUCGGCUAUCACUUUUGGAUGGUCCCGCGGCGUAUUAGCUAGAUGGUGGGGUAACGGCUCACCAUGGCAAUGAUACGUAGCCGACCUGAGAGGGUAAUCGGCCACAUUGGGACUGAGACACGGCCCAAACUCCUACGGGAGGCAGCAGUAGGGAAUCUUCCACAAUGGACGAAAGUCUGAUGGAGCAACGCCGCGUGAGUGAAGAAGGGUUUCGGCUCGUAAAACUCUGUUGUUAAAGAAGAACAUAUCUGAGAGUAACUGUUCAGGUAUUGACGGUAUUUAACCAGAAAGCCACGGCUAACUACGUGCCAGCAGCCGCGGUAAUACGUAGGUGGCAAGCGUUGUCCGGAUUUAUUGGGCGUAAAGCGAGCGCAGGCGGUUUUUUAAGUCUGAUGUGAAAGCCUUCGGCUCAACCGAAGAAGUGCAUCGGAAACUGGGAAACUUGAGUGCAGAAGAGGACAGUGGAACUCCAUGUGUAGCGGUGAAAUGCGUAGAUAUAUGGAAGAACACCAGUGGCGAAGGCGGCUGUCUGGUCUGUAACUGACGCUGAGGCUCGAAAGUAUGGGUAGCAAACAGGAUUAGAUACCCUGGUAGUCCAUACCGUAAACGAUGAAUGCUAAGUGUUGGAGGGUUUCCGCCCUUCAGUGCUGCAGCUAACGCAUUAAGCAUUCCGCCUGGGGAGUACGGCCGCAAGGCUGAAACUCAAAGGAAUUGACGGGGGCCCGCACAAGCGGUGGAGCAUGUGGUUUAAUUCGAAGCUACGCGAAGAACCUUACCAGGUCUUGACAUACUAUGCAAAUCUAAGAGAUUAGACGUUCCCUUCGGGGACAUGGAUACAGGUGGUGCAUGGUUGUCGUCAGCUCGUGUCGUGAGAUGUUGGGUUAAGUCCCGCAACGAGCGCAACCCUUAUUAUCAGUUGCCAGCAUUAAGUUGGGCACUCUGGUGAGACUGCCGGUGACAAACCGGAGGAAGGUGGGGAUGACGUCAAAUCAUCAUGCCCCUUAUGACCUGGGCUACACACGUGCUACAAUGGAUGGUACAACGAGUUGCGAACUCGCGAGAGUAAGCUAAUCUCUUAAAGCCAUUCUCAGUUCGGAUUGUAGGCUGCAACUCGCCUACAUGAAGUCGGAAUCGCUGUAAUCGCGGAUCAGCAUGCCGCGGUGAAUACGUUCCCGGGCCUUGUACACACCGCCCGUCACACCUGAGAGUUUGUA